GGCCGGGUGGCAGAAUGGCUAUGCAUUCCCUCCGCAAGGGGUUUUAUGCCGGUUCGAGUCCGGCCCCGGCCUCCA
rnacentral:tRNA from 1 species